GAAAGACCCCGUGAACCUUUACUAUAGCUUGACACUGAACAUUGAGCCUUGAUGUGUAGGAUAGGUGGGAGGCUUUGAAGCGUGGACGCCAGUCUGCAUGGAGCCGACCUUGAAAUACCACCCUUUAAUGUUUGAUGUUCUAACGUGGACCCGUGAUCCGGGUUGCGGACAGUGUCUGGUGGGUAGUUUGACUGGGGCGGUCUCCUCCUAAAGAGUAACGGAGGAGCACGAAGGUUGGCUAAUCCUGGUCGGACAUCAGGAGGUUAGUGCAAUGGCAUAAGCCAGCUUGACUGCGAGCGUGACGGCGCGAGCAGGUGCGAAAGCAGGUCAUAGUGAUCCGGUGGUUCUGAAUGGAAGGGCCAUCGCUCAACGGAUAAAAGGUACUCCGGGGAUAACAGGCUGAUACCGCCCAAGAGUUCAUAUCGACGGCGGUGUUUGGCACCUCGAUGUCGGCUCAUCACAUCCUGGGGCUGAAGUAGGUCCCAAGGGUAUGGCUGUUCGCCAUUUAAAGUGGUACGCGAGCUGGGUUUAGAACGUCGUGAGACAGUUCGGUCCCUAUCUGCCGUGGGCGCUGGAGAACUGAGGGGGGCUGCUCCUAGUACGAGAGGACCGGAGUGGACGCAUCACUGGUGUUCGGGUUGUCAUGCCAAUGGCACUGCCCGGUAGCUAAAUGCGGAAGAGAUAAGUGCUGAAAGCAUCUAAGCACGAAACUUGCCCCGA
rnacentral:rRNA from 1 species